rnacentral:lncRNA from 1 species
UCAUCCCCAGUUAGACCAAAAAGCAGACUAGCCUACCUUCCCCUCUCCGCUUCUGCGACCAAUUCUUCUUUUAUUUCUCUUUAAUUCGUUUCCUCAUUCUGUAAUUCUUGGCUUCUACUCGGAUCUUAUCCUCCUUAGCUGAGGUUAAUUCUUUUUUUAAUUUCGUUUUGAUUUUGAUUUAUUUUUGUGGUGACAGUGAGGGAUCGAUUGAUGUAAUUAUUGUUAUAAUCUUUUGCUAUCUUGUUUCUUUUUUUUUGUUUGUUUGUUAUGAUUUAUGAACUCCAAUCUUUUUAUGUGUAUUUAUUUUUUUCUAUUAAAUCGAUAUAGGGAACUUUUUCUUUUCGUUUCUUUGCUUUCUUAUCUCUGAUUUUCUUUACAAAAUUUUAGAGAGAAAAAAAGGUAAAUAAUAAACAUACGUUCGGGAUUGAAUUUUAUUCUGUUUCCUCUAUGAGCAAUUGGGAAUUUUAUUAUUUGGAAGACUAUCCUGCUCAAUUAUAAAAGAAAAUAGCAGAGCCGGCCAUGGGAUUCCAAUAAUCAUUGACAAAUGGCAAAACCAGCUUCUAUUUACCUACUCCACAUUGUACCUUUUAAGGUAAAUUAAUACUACUUUGAAAGCUAAGGAAGUAAUUGACUGUUAGGAAUUAAAAGCAAUAAUCACUUAGUAUCGAUUUCAUUUUGAAAAAUAAUGUGAAAAACUAUUGUAAAAAUAAAAUUAGAAAAUUAAAAUAUUUAUUUAGAGAAAUUAAAAAUAAAUUAAAUUAGAUAAUAUUUAAUGUAAAAAUAAAUUAAAUUCAUUUUCUUUGUUUUUCCUAGUUUGUAAAAC